CGAAAUAGCUCAGUUUAUGAGUGUGUUAGACUGAAGAUCUAAAGGUUCCUGGUUCGAUCCAGGGGUUUCGG
rnacentral:tRNA from 1 species